CCCUCGGGAAAGCCUUCUUCGGAGGGUGAGUAGAGUGGCGGACGGGUGAGCAACGCGUGGGUAACCUGCCUUCGAGUUGGGAAUAACAUCCUCAACGGGGUGCUAAUACCGAAUAAUGAGACGUGACGCAAGUCAUCGUCCCCAAAGGUGGCCUCUGCAUGCAAGCUGCCGCUCGAAGAUGGGCCCGCGUCGUAUUAGCUAGUUGGUGGGGUAAUGGCCUACCAAGGCGACGAUGCGUAGCCGGCCUGAGAGGGUGAACGGCCACACUGGAACUGAGACACGGUCCAGACUCCUACGGGAGGCAGCAGUGAGGGAUAUUGGUCGAUGGACGGAAGUCUGAACCAGCCAUCCCGCGUGCAGGAAGAAGGCUUUCCAGAGGGG
rnacentral:rRNA from 1 species